AACUAAACCGGAACAGUGUACCUA
rnacentral:siRNA from 1 species